rnacentral:misc_RNA from 1 species
GUUUAAUGGUUAGGUAUUACAGACAAACCAUUGGGAAAGUAAAUAACAAGAUUGGAGUCAUCAAAUCAGCAGUUACCAUCUUCAGAAGAUCAGUCAUUGUUUAUCGGUAGUAAGCUGGUUGAUAUGCUGGGGCCAUUGCAUUGCCGUAACCACCAUAUGCAGGAUACGACAUUGGAGGUGAGGGAAACGAACCAGCAUGUGGAGCAGCUUCUGGUGAGUAAGUAUAAGGAUUUGCUGGUGGGCUUCUGCUGCCAUACAUUGAGGGUGGGGAAUGGUAAGGUGGGACACCAGCAGGGUACUGAGAGUGCGAGGGAGACCUGACAAAUGCAGGAGCUGCAGGGUAUGAAGAGACAUAUGCAUUGGUCAAACGACCAGCCUUGGCAGGAGGCAUAGGACCACCGUUGUUUGCUCGUGUUCUCUUGUUGGCAGGGACUGGAGCAGGUUUCCUCUUCUCUACCUUCACCUUUUCCAGCUGUUCAAGGCGUUUCUUAAGGUUUUCUGGAGGGAACUCAGCCUGAAGCUUGUAUUCUUCAAUGCACUU